UGGUGCAUGGUUGUCGUCAGCUCGUGUCGUGAGAUGUUGGGUCAAGUCCCGCAACGAGCGCAACCCCUAUUGUUAGUUGCCAUCAUUCAGUUGGGCACUCUAGCGAGACUGCCGGUAAUAAACCGGAGGAAGGUGGGGAUGGCGUCAAAUCAUCAUGCCCCUUAUGACCUGGGCUACACACGUGCUACAAUGGUUGGUACAACGAGUUGCGAGUCGGUGACGGCGAGCUAAUCUCUUAAAGCCAAUCUCAGUUCGGAUUGUAGGCUGCAACUCGCCUACAUGAAGUCGGAAUCGCUAGUAAUCGCGGAUCAGCACGCCGCGGUGAAUACGUUCCCGGGCCUU
rnacentral:rRNA from 1 species